rnacentral:rRNA from 1 species
GGCAGACGGGUGAGUACGCGUGGGAACAUACCUUCUGGUUCGGAACAACACAGGGAAACUUGUGCUAAUACCGGAUAAGCCCUUACGGGGAAAGAUUUAUCGCCGAAAGAUUGGCCCGCGUCUGAUUAGCUAGUUGGUAGGGUAAUGGCCUACCAAGGCGACGAUCAGUAGCUGGUCUGAGAGGAUGAUCAGCCACAUUGGGACUGAGACACGGCCCAAACUCCUACGGGAGGCAGCAGUGGGGAAUAUUGGACAAUGGGGGCAACCCUGAUCCAGCCAUGCCGCGUGAGUGAUGAAGGCCCUAGGGUUGUAAAGCUCUUUUGUGCGGGAAGAUAAUGACGGUACCGCAAGAAUAAGCCCCGGCUAACUUCGUGCCAGCAGCCGCGGUAAUACGAAGGGGGCUAGCGUUGCUCGGAAUCACUGGGCGUAAAGGGUGCGCAGGCGGGUCUUUAAGUCAGGGGUGAAAUCCUGGAGCUCAACUCCAGAACUGCCUUUGAUACUGAAGAUCUUGAGUUCGGGAGAGGUGAGUGGAACUGCGAGUGUAGAGGUGAAAUUCGUAGAUAUUCGCAAGAACACCAGUGGCGAAGGCGGCUCACUGGCCCGAUACUGACGCUGAGGCACGAAAGCGUGGGGAGGAAACAGGAUUAGAUACCCUGGUAGUCCACGCCGUAAACGAUGAAUGCCAGCCGUUAGUGGGUUUACUCACUAGUGGCGCAGCUAACGCUUUAAGCAUUCCGCCUGGGGAGUACGGUCGCAAGAUUAAAACUCAAAGGAAUUGACGGGGGCCCGCACAAGCGGUGGAGCAUGUGGUUUAAUUCGACGCAACGCGCAGAACCUUACCAGCCCUUGACAUGUCCAGGACCGGUCGCAGAGAUGUGACCUUCUCUUCGGAGCCUGGAACACAGGUGCUGCAUGGCUGUCGUCAGCUCGUGUCGUGAGAUGCUGGGUUAAGUCCCGCAACGAGCGCAACCCCCGUCCUUAGUUGCUACCAUUUAGUUGAGCACUCUAAGGAGACUGCCGGUGAUAAGCCGCGAGGAAGGUGGGGAUGACGUCAAGUCCUCAUGGCCCUUACGGGCUGGGCUACACACGUGCUACAAUGGCGGUGACAAUGGGAUGCUAAGGGGCGACCCUUCGCAAAUCUCAAAAAGCCGUCUCAGUUCGGAUUGGGCUCUGCAACUCGAGCCCAUGAAGUUGGAAUCGCUAGUAAUCGUGGAUCAGCACGCCACGGUGAAUACGUUCCCGGGCCUUGUACACACCGCCCGUCACACCAUGGGAGUUGGUUUUACCUGAAGGUAGUGCGCUAACCCGCAAGGGAGGCAGCUAACCACG